AGUCGAGCGAGCUUGCCUAGAUGAGUUUGGUGCUUGCACCAGAUGAAACUAGAUACAAGCGAGCGGCGGACGGGUGAGUAACACGUGGGUAACCUGCCCAAGAGACUGGGAUAACACCUGGAAACAGAUGCUAAUACCGGAUAACAACACUAGACGCAUGUCUAGAGUUUAAAGAUGGUUCUGCUAUCACUCUUGGAUGGACCUGCGGUGCAUUAGCUAGUUGGUAAGGUAACGGCUUACCAAGGCAAUGAUGCAUAGCCGAGUUGAGAGACUGAUCGGCCACAUUGGGACUGAGACACGGCCCAAACUCCUACGGGAGGCAGCAGUAGGGAAUCUUCCACAAUGGACGCAAGUCUGAUGGAGCAACGCCGCGUGAGUGAAGAAGGGUUUCGGCUCGUAAAGCUCUGUUGGUAGUGAAGAAAGAUAGAGGUAGUAACUGGCCUUUAUUUGACGGUAAUUACUUAGAAAGUCACGGCUAACUACGUGCCAGCAGCCGCGGUAAUACGUAGGUGGCAAGCGUUGUCCGGAUUUAUUGGGCGUAAAGCGAGUGCAGGCGGUUCAAUAAGUCUGAUGUGAAAGCCUUCGGCUCAACCGGAGAAUUGCAUCAGAAACUGUUGAACUUGAGUGCAGAAGAGGAGAGUGGAACUCCAUGUGUAGCGGUGGAAUGCGUAGAUAUAUGGAAGAACACCAGUGGCGAAGGCGGCUCUCUGGUCUGCAACUGACGCUGAGGCUCGAAAGCAUGGGUAGCGAACAGGAUUAGAUACCCUGGUAGUCCAUGCCGUAAGCGAUGAGUGCUAAGUGUUGGGAGGUUUCCGCCUCUCAGUGCUGCAGCUAACGCA
rnacentral:rRNA from 1 species